rnacentral:rRNA from 1 species
CCAGACUCCUACGGGAGGCAGCAGUGGGGAAUAUUGGGCAAUGGGCGCAAGCCUGACCCAGCGACGCCGCGUGAGGGAAGACGGUCUUCGGAUUGUAAACCUCUUUCAGCAGGGAAGACAAAAGGACGGUACCUGCAGAAGAAGCCACGGCUAACUACGUGCCAGCAGCCGCGGUAAUACGUAGGGUGCGAGCGUUAAUCGGAAUUACUGGGCGUAAAGGGUGUGCAGGCGGCUGAGUAAGACAGAUGUGAAAUCCCCGGGCUUAACCUGGGAACCGCAUAUGUGACUGCUUGGCUAGAGUGCGUCAGAGGGAGGUGGAAUUCCACGUGUAGCAGUGAAAUGCGUAGAUAUGUGGAAGAACACCGAUGGCGAAGGCAGCCUCCUGGGACGCAACUGACGCUCAUACACGAAAGCGUGGGGAGCAAACAGGAUUAGAUACCCUAGUA